CCUGCUGACCCCAAUGUAGCUGCUUACUUCCUUCUGAUCCCAACCUGGUUUGGGCUUGAUGAACUCACCCCUCCACCAUUUUCAGGAUUAGGGUUUUGUGAAGCUCAAGUGUUUUUUUUUUCCCCUUCUUUUCUUUUUGUUAGAAAAGUAGUUGAUUGAGUGAGUAGAGAAAGUUUAGUAAAGGUUAUGUCAGAGUUUGCUUUGGAAUAAGAUUUUCUUUUUUCUUUCAAAAUUGCAUUGUUUCAGCAUCCAUCUUUCAAGAGUUGGCAAUGUCAUCCCAGGCCUGUGGAAAGUGUGUUGAUGCAUUGGCCAGGCAAGUUGUAGCAAAGGCCUACCUGGCACCAUGUAGGUUGCGUGAACCAAAGUUGCCUUUAGGAAAAGUCUGUCUAUGAAAAGAAGAAGCCAAGUUGGUCUUAUCCCAAGAAUGGACAAGAUUCCAGGCUCUAGAAAAGUGAAUUCAAUGGGCCAUUUUUCACUCUGCUGAAAAGGCUGGAAAUCAGAAACCAUGGUCUGUAUUCUUCUUUAAAGAACUCAGCGUGUUGGUGAAAAACAAUGCAUGUUUGCUUUGUUCUGGGCAUCUGAAAAAACAUCUCUUAUCUUUUCUUCAGAUCCACACUUACGCUGACAUUAAUGUACCUAAAGAGAUUUAGCAGCAACACACAUAACAACAAAAACAGCAAUUGCACAAGUGAGUCAAGAAGCUCUCUACAGCUCUGAAGUAUCUUUAUUUUGGAGGAGGGAAAAAUGGGAGAGGAAAAAACACUGAUAAAAAAGUAGAAUGCCAAUUGAUGUCAUGGAUAUUGAAUAGUGUGGCUUCUACCCAGAAGGAAAUGAAGUGGAUUCAGAAGAAGAAUGAGGAGCAAUUGGUCGAAGCAUUGAAUGAUGCUGUUGACGAUUGAUGAUGAUGAUGGCAAUGAUAUGUUUCUAGUAUAUUCUUUCAGCAUUUUUAGUCUCAUCAUUUGUUACCCAUACACAAGAAGCAGAAAUUUGAUGCUCUUAAAUUACAUCAUUUUGGAAUCAAUUUCAUAAAAGGAGGCAGAUAUGUUGGAGAAAGCCUAACACAAACCUCUGUGGAUACAUCAUAAACAUCAUAAUGGGCUGCCAACCAGGCGUAUCCACCAACUCCUGCUGCAGUGAUUCAUCCUGAAAAUGUUUGGCGGAAAUAUAUGACUACUAACUGUCUGCAGUGGUGAAGACGUACCACAGAAAACCGUUCAUUGCUUUCUGUGACUGUAUUGCAGAUCAACCACCCUGAGAGCAGGUGUAUCAUACUGUAUGCAGACUUUCACCCAGGCGACAAUUCUUGAUGGGUGCUACAUUCUAGCAAGCCUCAGCUUUUUAUCCCACCUUAGAUGUUGCCAAUGGCUGGAAUUUUUUCCCCCUUGUGCGCAGUUUAAUUUUUCUUCCGUUAUACAGCUGUAAGAACAAUUAGUAGAAUUGAGAGUCAGGGUGGCUUCAAUCAAAAGCAAAAGAGCCAGUGCCAUUUGCUUAUAUGUGUUUUUUGGAGGGUUCAAUUGACCACAAGAUGGUACCCAGGUUUCCCUAUGUCAUGCAGCUCCACAAGAACUUAAUGAAAACAGAGGUAAAGAUUAUCCCCAUUUUUCAGACAGAAAUGAGACGGAGAAGGAAAGAUUUCCCAGUAGCCUGCUACCAACCGAUCACUUUAAAAUUUGAAUUCAAGAUUGUUCGAUUUCACUUAGCAUAUUUAUAAAUACAUACUGUCUUAGUACAGAUGUGGAGAACCUAAAAAAAAUGACUUAAUUUUGUUGUGGGAGGGCAGUAUGAUGACUCACAUUUUUAGCAAAGAUUUUUUUACAAAUAUAUUGUGAAAAAAUCACUAUCACACUGGGUGGAGAUGGAGGCACACAGUUUUUGAAUGUGCAUCGUGGCUAAGAGAUCUGCAGUGUUUAAGCCUAAAAAAACCUCACAUACGUACUGUUGCAUGAGGGCAUUUGUAGAGAAACGUCUUCCAUUCCCAGAUCUUUCCUGGAUUAAUGUGAAAUGGAACAAUUUUGGGAAGUGCUACUGAAGACAAGUCCUCUCUCUGCAAAACAACAGAGUUCCCUUUCCAUCAUAUCCUACUAGAGUUCCCCUGCCAACCUCUUAAGCAAAACAGUCUUAACUUUGAAGAAGUUUUGGAAUAACCAGUACAGGAGGGCAUCUUCUAGUUUAUGCCAAUAACCUAACAGUUUCAACUGACUCCUUCAUUUAGUUAUGCUCAACUCGAGUCUGCUCAAAAACUAAACUAAAGUAUUUUGAUUCCAGAACUUGUUGAUGUAUAAGAAGGUGCUAAGAAAUAUAAUUUUCUACUAAGAAACUGUGUUUUCCAGAAAGAAUUAUUUCUGAAGUUUCUGGAGUUAGACAGACAAACAGACAGAAGACCAGACUUCUUGGGUGGUAGUGAAUGGAGAUGCAAGUGACUUAUCUUUUUUUUCCUCCCAAAGGCAAGUAUCUGGUUUUGGAGUUUUCUUUUAUUAAGAAAGGUUGAGGAAAUGAACGAUGUCUUUGAAGAGUGGAGGUCCUUUGAGAUAAAUCAAGUCACUGGACUGAUGGUUAGAACAGUCCAGAGAGAACAUAACUCAAUGGUAAGGCUGUUGCUUUGCAUGGAAAAGAUCUAAGGUUGAGUUUUUAUGUGGCGAGGGCUAAAGUUGAGUAUGUGUGGGAAGAUAUUUCCCGUAUUCUAAUUAAUGGCAUGGAAUUACCCCAAUUAUAGAUGAUUUCUAUAGCUUUUUACAUCCAUACUGGAGAAAGUUCUGCCCCAUUUCUGCAUUGUUUGUGUUGUGUAUCAGGUUAUUGUUAUUGAUCGUUUAGGUAGGCCUGUGAUCUGCUACUAUUAUUUGAUUACCAUGGGCUCCCUGAAUAUGUUAGACUUCUCAAAGAUUCUAUAGAUGUAAUUAUUCUGGGAGUGUCAGUAAAACAACCAAGAGAAAAACCCUCCUCAUGAUUCUUAUGCCAUUUGUUUAAUAAGUGUAAAAGCCAGAAUUAUUUGCCUUUUGAAUGCCUCAAAAGCAACAAAAAAGUAUACUUUUUGUAAAUAAUCAGCUCUCCUGUGUAUGUACUUUAAAUGAGUUUGAUUGGAGUGCAACAUCAGAAACUUAAUAAUAGCCUGCAAUAUUUAGGUCAAGUGCAUCACCAUUCAUGGAUUAGCCUGGGAAAUGCAAAUUAGCAAUCAAAUUAAUUUCUACUUGCUGAUCAAAUGGACAGAUCAAGGAAACAAUGAGAUUGCUAGAAGUGGGAUGUCAUCCUGUGAUGGCUGGUCCCAAAGGAAUUAUGUUUUAUGGAAAAUGUUCUUCAUUUUACAAAGGUUAGUAGACAAUAACAUCAUGGAUUGCCAAGAAUGGUUAUUGUUUAAAAUUAUUGCUCCUGUGUCUGAUACAUAAACGCUACAUAUAUUAUUGGAACAAGAAAAAUUGAAAUAUAUUCACUUUUGCUAAUUCCAUUCACAUUCCAACAUAUUCUACUAUAUUCACUAUUUCUCUAAUUUGUUUCUUAUUUCCAUGUAAGCUAACCCAUUCAAAGCCUUUGAAAAACAUAUAAGGGAGAAUGUUUAAAAAGAAAAUUUCCAUGUAGGAGAGGACAGAUGAUUAAAGUUCCUUCCACAUUGGAUUUCCAAAGAGCACCUCACUACAUGGGAAUAAAACUGUUCCUCAGAAAUAAACAAUACAGUAA